AGGGAAAAAUUUUCCAGGUAAGGAAAGAGCCUGUGUGAAGGUCCUGAGUCAGGAAAGGUCUUGCCACAUGGGAACUGAAGGAAGUUCAGUGCAGCAGAAGUGUGGUGAUGAAGCAGGGUAGUGGGGCAAGAUGGGGCCAGGUCAUGUAGAGAUUGGGAGGGCAGAGCAAGGACCUUAGUCUUUAUUCUAGAAGAAACAGGAAGUCCUUGGAGGAGAUUAAGCAGAGGGGAGACAUCAUACAGUUUGAACUGUAAUGAAAUCCCUCUGGCUGCUGGGUGGAGAGUGGGUGGGAAGAUGGCCAGGUAGGAUCCUAAUAUCCUGCUUGCUACCACCAGUUCAGGCAGACUGUUGGUAGCAAGUAAGAUGGAGAGAAGUGAGUAGGUACAAGAUACAUUUAGGAAGUUAAAUUGUCAGGUUUGAGGAUGGACUGGGGGUACGGGGUGGGGAAGGAGAUGUCAGGGGUCAAAGGAUAAUUUUUUAAAGAUAAAAUCAUGAUUUUCAUACACAUGUAAAAUGAACACAUGUCAAAGAUCUUAUUUCACUUAAUAAUAAAUGAAGCAAAAAUGUGUCACAACUUGUUCAGAGGAGAAGUCAAAGGCAUGCUGAAAUGAAUUUGCAAAAACCGGUCUAUCCAUAGGGCAACGUCAGUUGUAUUUCAUUGGACACAGGUAAUUUGCCUUUCUGUGGGUGCAAAUUAUUUGCAUCUGUUUUCUCCAGGUUAACUUCUACCUCCACAGAGGUACGGAAUAAUCUAGGCAAAAAUAACAAAGGCACACAUCCUGUAGAAUCGUGUUUAUCAGAGGCUCCAGCAUUCUGUUAAAAGAAUACCUAAGAAUCAUUUUUGCCCGUUCUAAAGUCUGGAAUUUUUCCUUCCAAAAGGAUGACUCCUAGUAUCUGAGUAGGUGCUCAGACAGGGCAGAUGGGCAGGGUGGGGAAUGAGGGUUGGGGGAGAAGAUACACCAAGAUUGCGAUGGAAGAGUGAGGAUACGUUUGUGGACUUGGUACCUUUGAGGGGCCUGUUGCAUGUCAAAACGAGGUCCACGAAGUGAUGCUGGAGAGAUGGCUUUUGAGCAGGAGCUUUAAGACUAAGCAGGAUAAGGACGUAAAAAGGUAUGAGAAGAUGCAAGAAAUUGGACUCAGAAAAUCUUCUCCUGAAAAUAUCUAACUACCUGAAGACCUGUUCUGCCAGUUUUUCCCAGAGUACAGAGCACUUCAUUCCUGAUCUCCACCCUGACCUCCUUUCAGGCUCCUGUUUUACAGCUCCCCAAACCCUUGGAAUUUCCUAACUGUUAAGAGCAUAAAUGUGUCUCGUUAUAUGAAUGAGCUGACUUUUGGAAAGCACCUAAGGAUGGGAGCUGGUUGCCAGAAGAACCAACUAAGUGACUAGAGGGUUGGAAAUUUCAGUCCCACCCUUGAGCUCUGGGGAGGGGAGAAGUGAAGAACGGCGGGUUGAAUUAAUCGCCAAGGGCCAAGAGUUCAUCAAUCGUGCAUGUGUAAUGAAUCCUCCAUAGAGACCCAAAAGGACGGGGUUCUGGGAGCUCCCGAGUUGGUGAACGUGUGCAGAUCUGGGGAGAGCGCUGCCUGGAAAGCAUGGAAGCUCUGAAUCCUUUCUCACACCUUGCCCUGUGCACCUCUUCCAUCUGGCUGUUCCUGAGUUCAUAACCUUUUAAAAUAAAUCUGUGAUCUAGCAAGUAACAAGGUUCUCUGAGUUCUGUGAGCCACUCUAGCAAAUUCAUCAAUCCCAAGGAGGGUUGGGAACCUCUGACUUAUAGCCAGUGGCUUAGAAGCACAGGUGACAACCUGCACUUGGGGCUGGUGUCUGAAGUCCAAGGAGGAGGUCGUGGGAACCUCCAGUCUGUAGCCGGUGAGUCAGAAGCGCAGGUAGCAACCUAGACUUGCAGUUGACGUCUGACGUGGGCGUGCGGGCGUUGUGCGACUGGAUCUGUAACCUUCAGGCUCUGACGCCACCUCGGAGCAGUCUUGGAACUUGAGACUGCACUGCUGUGAAGAAGCUCCUGGAGUGUGAGAGACGCCACAUGAAGGAGAACCCAGGCCUCCCAGCCAAAAGCCAGCACCAGCUUCCAGGUACCUGACUGAGACCACCUCGGACUUCCCAGCCCCACAAGAGCUGUCAGGUGACUGCCAUCACGUAAGUGGUUCCAGGAAAGACCAGCGGAAGAACCACCCAGAUUGCCAGUCCACCGAAUCAAGAGAAACAAGAAAUCAUUGUUUUUACCACUAAGUUUUGGGGUGGAUUUUUACAAAGCAACAGAUAAGAUAGCAGAUGGUGAUCUACAGGGAAUUGUGAAAUCGAUUUUCUGGGGGAGGAAAACAGUAUAAAAAGUAUAUGAGACGGCAGAAUAGAAUAUAUGAGUUCAUUUCAUACAGAAUCGUUGCAAUUAUCUGUUGCUGUGUAGUAAGGCACUCCAAAAGUUCAUGGUGAAAAGCCACCAUUUUAUGCUGAAACUUCAUAUGCUGGACCAGGAGUUUGGCAAGUGCAGGGGAUGUGGUUCAUCUUUGUUUUCAAUGGAGCCUCGGCUGUGAUAGAUCAAAUUUGGGGCUGUGGCUGGAUGAACUGAUUAGGGCCGUAUGUCUGGGGCCUUGACUCUGUCUGCUGGGUGCGUUCCUCGUUUCUUCUCCCCAUCAUGUCUUCAGGAACAGGAACGUCCAACUUGGCUUCUUCACUUCCAGUAGGCUGGCAGGAGCCGCGAGGAUCUCGCUCUGCACAGCUCUCCAUGGGGCCAGCUUGGGCUUCCUUACAGCACGGUGGGCCUGGGUAGCUGGACUUCUUACUCGGUGGCUGGUUUCUGCAAGGCUUCUGCUGACCUCGCUUCAGAGGUCCGUGAACAUCACACCUGCUACAUUCUGUUGGUCAACCAGGUAAGUCGCUGAGGCCAGCCCAGGCUUAAGGAGGUCGGGACGGGGGGAUUAAGACCCCACCUCUUAAUGAGAGGAGCAGCAAAGAAUCUGCAGCCUAGGGGGUAUUUUGUCACAUACUGUAUUUGUAAGAUGUCAUUGCUUGUAAGACACAUCCUGACUUCACGGGUAAAAAGAUGUGAAAAAACGGUCAUAAUAAAAUUGAUGAAAUGUAGUGUAUACAUGCAGAGCUGUGGUGUAAAAUGUUUUCCACUGUGGCUUGCUUAGAAGUUCAAAACUAGGCUAAAUUACAUUCCAAAGUGAGAGCCAAGAAGCAAUUUCCAGACAUCUAGUCCAGACUAAGACAGUUUGUCACAUGGAGGAUGUCCCUAAAAAUAACUAUUAAAAUUUUUGUUAUGCUAAAAAAAUUCACACGAAUGCAAAAACAGAUUAAUAUAAUAAACCUUCAUGAAAACAUUACCCAUCUUUUUUUCUUUUUUAACAUCUUUAUUGGAGUGUAAUUGCUUUAAAAUGUUGUGUUAGUUUCUGCUGUAUAUCAAAGUGAAUCAGCUACAUGUAUAGACAUCCCCCAUAUUCCUUCCCUCUUGUGUCUCCCUCCCACCCUCCCUAUCCCACCCCUCUAGGUGGUCACAAAGCACCGAGUUGAUCUCCCUGUGCUAUGCAGCUGCUUCCCACUAGCUAUCUAUUUUACCUUUGGUAGUGUAUAUAUGUAAAUGCUACUCUCUCACUUCGUCCCAGCUUACCCUUCCCCCUCCCCAUGUCCUCAAGUCCAUUCUCUAUGUCUGCAUCUUUAUUCCUGUCCUGCCCCUAGGUUCAUCAGAACCUUUUUUUUUUUUGUAGAUUUCAUAUAUAUACAUGGAAUACAUAUAUACGGUAGUUGCUUUUCUCUUUCGGACUUACUACACCCUGUAUGACAGACUCUAGGUCCAUCCACCUCAUUACAAAUAACUCAAUUUUGUUUCUUUGUAUAGCUGUGUAAUGUUCCAUUGUAUGUAUGUGCCACAUCUUCUUUAUCCAUUCAUCUGUCGAUGGACACUUCCAUCACCCAUCUUUUACAGUUAUCUCCCCACAGGGUCAAUUUUUUUUGAUCCAUAUCCUGACUUAUCCCUGCCCCAGGAUUAUUUUAAAGCAAAUGCCAGACACUGUAUUAUUUCAUCUGUAAAUACUGGGGAAUACUGUCUUUCCACAUGCCUUUUUUGUUGUAAUCACAGUGAUCCACUUGGCUUGGCAAUAGAUAAUAUUUACAGCCUUAUUAAUGGAAACAGUGGACAUGGAUUCAACAACUUUGAUUUAACUGUGUUGGGAGAGGAAAGGGCAGGGCAGAGGAAUGCUAAAAUUCCCAUCUACCAUAAAGAGUUGCCAAUCUGCAAAGUCUAAAAUUGGUGAAUCAAGGGCUUCCCUGAUGGCGCAGUGGUUAAGAAUCCGCCUGCCGGUGCAGGGAACAUGGAUUCGAGCCCUGGCCCGGGAAGAUCCCACAUGCCGCGGAGCAACUAAGCCCGUGUGCCACAACUACUGAGCCCGAGAGCCACAACUACUGAAGCCCACACGCCUAGAGCCCGUGCUCCGUAACAAGAGAAGCCACCACAACUAGAGAAAGCCCGCACGCGGCAACAGAGACCCAACGCUGCCAAAAAUAAAAACAAAUAAAUUUAUAAAUAAAUAAAUAAAAUUGGUGAAUCAAGGGGCCACAUUAAACACAAAUUACUUAGGAGUAAGGAAGCAACUAGAGGAAACAGUUAACCCAGCUGCACAUGGACCACAGAAGGGGAAGUCAGAGAGUGGGGCCGCUGGGGUCUCACUUAAGUGAUAUACACGUUAUUACUUUGAUUAAAAUAAAACAUUAAAAAGAAAGUAAGGUGGGGACUUCCCUGGUGGUUCAGUGGUUAAGACUCCACGCUCCCAAUGCAGGGGCCCCGGGUUCGAUCCCUGGUCCGGGAACUAGAUCCCACAUGCAUGCCACAACUGAGUUUGCAUGCCACAGCUAAGGAGCCUGCCUGCUGCAACUAAGGAGCCUGCCUGCCACAACUAAGACCCGAUGCAACCAAAUAAAUAAAUAUUGAAUUUAAAAAAUUAAGAUGUUGGAGAAUUGAUGACUAAAAUCUCUUCGGCCCUAUAGGUAGUGUAAUACUACAAUUCCUCAGUUACGUUUUUUUUUUUUUUUAUAAAUUUAUUUAUUUCAUUUAUUUUAUUUUUGGCUGCAUUGGGUCUUUGUUGCUGCGCGCGGCUUUCUCUAGUCGCAGCGAGCUGGGGCUACUGUUCGUUGCAGUGCAUGGGCUUCUCAUUGUGGUGGCUUCUCUUUGUUGCGGAGUAUGGGCCCUAGGUGCGCAGGCUUCAGUAGUUGUGGCGUGCAAGCUCAGUACUUGUGGCGCACGGGCUUAGCUGCUCCGCGGCACGUGGGACCUUCCCGGACCAGGGCUCAAACCCGUGUCCUCUGCAUUGGCAGGCGGAUUCUUAACCACUGUGCCACCAGGUAAGUCCCCAAAUCACUUUUUAAUAGAGCAGAGUUUGUCGGUCUACCUUUGCAGCUAGGGACACUCGACACACUCCAGUUGGAAGAAUACUUCUCCUACCAGUCAAACCUGUUUGCACGCCACGGGUCAUUUUGAUUAUUUUAAAAUAUUUUCCAUGUUCUACCUGGCCAGUCUCUGCCAGCACCUACCAGGUCACUGUGAGCCGUCUGAUGGUCCUUCCCCCCACGUCCCAGCCCAGCCCCCUGCUCUCUGCUCACAGCGCCCUUCAUGGGAUGUCGAGGGUCCAGUCCCCACUAGAGGGCAGUCCCUGGGCAGGGCCAGUUCUAGCCAUCCUGGUAUCUCCAGGGCAGCAGGGUCUUCUCCAGAGUGCCUGAUGGUGGUGGUCCCACACAGAUACGUCUGUGCACAUCUCUGGAACUGGUGAAUGUGACUUUAUUUGGCAAAGUGAUCUUUGUAGAUGUAAUUAAGGAUCUUGAGAUGAGAUCGCCUUGGAUUACCUGGGUGGGCCAAUGAGAGGUGUUCUUAUAAAGAGACAGAAGAUGAGACACUCAGAGAGGCCACGUGAAGACAGAGCAGACUGGAAGGAUGCGGCCACGGCCACGGAAGCCAGCAACCACCGAACACUGGAAGAGAGAAUGGACCCUCCCCUCGAGCCUCCGCAAGGACCUGGCCCACCUCCUCUCCCACUGCACCUGCACGCUGGGCAUAGGGCUGCACACAGUGCUGGUCUCAGACAGCAGUACUUGAAAAGGUGCCCCGCUGAGUCCAGGACAUGAAACAGCAAAGGCACCGGCUACCCAUUCUCACCAAGGGAUUAAGCCAAGGAAAUGUAAGAAACAAAAGGAUCUGCGAUAUUUAGAAAUGUAUUGAGGACUUCCUUGGUGGCACAGCGGUUAAGAAUCCGCCUGCCAGUGCAGGGGACACGGGUUCGAGCCCUGGUCCAGGAAGAUCCCACAUGCCGCGGAGCAACUAAGCCCGUGGGCCACAACUACUGAGCCUGCGCUACAGAGCCUGUGAGCCACGACUACUGAGCCCUCGUGCCACAACUACGGAAGCCCACGCGCCUAGAGCCCGUGCUCCGCAACAAGAGAAGCCACCGCAAUGAGAAGCCCGCGCACCGCAACGAAGAGUAGCCCCCACUCGCCGCAACUAGAGAAAGCCUGCGCACAGCAACGAAGAUCCAA